UCAGGGAUUGGCUCAGUAACGGCGAGUGAAGCGGCAACAGCUCAAAUUUGAAAUCUGGCGCCUCCGGCGUCCGAGUUGUAAUUUGUAGAGGAUGCUAUUGGGUUGCCACCGGUCUAAGUUCCUUGGAACAGGACGUCACAGAGGGUGAGAAUCCCGUAUGUGACCGGCCAGGCGCCCUCCGUAUAGCUCCUUCGACGAGUCGGGUUGUUUGGGAAUGCAGCCCUAAAUGGGAGGUAAAUUUCUUCUAAAGCUAAAUACCGGCCAGAGACCGAUAGCGCACAAGUAGAGUGAUCGAAAGAUGAAAAGCACUUUGGAAAGAGAGUUAAAAAGCACGUGAAAUUGUUGAAAGGGAAGCGCUUGCAAUCAGUCUCGACGGCGGCUGUUCGGCCUCUCUUCUGAGUGGUUUAUUCAGUCGCCGCCGGGCCAGCAUCAGUUUCGGCGGUCGGACAAAGGCGCGGGGAAUGUAGCUCCCUCGGGAGUGUUAUAGCCCCGCGUGCAAUACGGCCCGCCGGGACUGAGGUCCGCGCUCCGGCUAGGAUGCUGGCGAAAUGGUUGUAAGCGGCCCGUCUUGAAACACGGACCAAGGAGUCUAACAUCUACGCGAGUGUUUGGGUGUCAAACCCGUGCGCGCAAUGAAAGUGAACGGAGGUGGGAACCGCAAGGUGCACCAUCGACCGAUCCUGAUGUCUUCGGAUGGAUUUGAGUAAGAGCGUAGCUGUUGGGACCCGAAAGAUGGUGAACUAUGCCUGAAU
rnacentral:rRNA from 1 species